GUUUCAGGGCGAGGUGCAAUUCCUCACUGGCGGUAAAGUCCGCGAACCGGCGAUGAGCCGGCUGAAUGGGUGAAACUCCCAUACCAACGGUAUAGUCCGGAUGAAAGAAA
rnacentral:ncRNA from 1 species